rnacentral:rRNA from 1 species
AUUGAACGCUGGCGGCAGGCUUAACACAUGCAAGUCGAGCGGAGAGAGGUAGCUUGCUACCGAUCUUAGCGGCGGACGGGUGAGUAAUGCUUAGGAAUCUGCCUAUUAGUGGGGGACAACAUUUCGAAAGGAAUGCUAAUACCGCAUACGUCCUACGGGAGAAAGCAGGGGAUCUUCGGACCUUGCGCUAAUAGAUGAGCCUAAGUCGGAUUAGCUAGUUGGUGGGGUAAAGGCCUACCAAGGCGACGAUCUGUAGCGGGUCUGAGAGGAUGGUCCGCCACACUGGGACUGAGACACGGCCCAGACUCCUACGGGAGGCAGCAGUGGGGAAUAUUGGACAAUGGGCGCAAGCCUGAUCCAGCCAUGCCGCGUGUGUGAAGAAGGCCUUAUGGUUGUAAAGCACUUUAAGCGAGGAGGAGGCUACUUUAGUUAAUACCUAGAGAUAGUGGACGUUACUCGCAGAAUAAGCACCGGCUAACUCUGUGCCAGCCGCCGCAGUAA